rnacentral:rRNA from 1 species
CUUGCCCCGAGAUGAGUUCUCCCUGACUCCUUGAGAGUCCUGAAGGAACGUUGAAGACGACGACGUUGAUAGGCCGGGUGUGUAAGCGCAGCGAUGCGUUGAGCUAACCGGUACUAAUGAACCGUGAGGCUUAACCUU